rnacentral:rRNA from 1 species
CGCUACGGCCAUACCAGCCUGGGUACGCCCGAUCUCGUCUGAUCUCGGAAGCGAAGCAGGGUCGGGCCUGGUUAGUACUUGGAUGGGAGACCGCCUGGGAAUACCAGGUGCUGUAAGGA